CCUACGGGAGGCAGCAGUGGGGAAUAUUGGACAAUGGGGGGAACCCUGAUCCAGCGACGCCGCGUGAGUGAAGAAGUAUUUCGGUAUGUAAAGCUCUAUCAGCAGGGAAGAAAGAAAUGACGGUACCUGACUAAGAAGCCCCGGCUAACUACGUGCCAGCAGCCGCGGUAAUACGUAGGGGGCAAGCGUUAUCCGGAUUUACUGGGUGUAAAGGGAGCGUAGACGGCGAUGCAAGUCUGAAGUGAAAGGCGGGGGCCCAACCCCCGGACUGCUUUGGAAACGGUAUGGCUGGAGUGCAGGAGGGGGAAGUAGAAUUCCUAGUGUAGCGGUGGAAUGCGUAGAUAAUAGGAGGAAAACCAGUGGCGAAGGUG
rnacentral:rRNA from 1 species